AUGUCCCUACGGGGGGCAGCAGUGAGGAAUAUUGGUCAAUGGUCGGGAGACUGAACCAGCCAAGCCGCGUGAGGGAGGAAGGUACAGCGUAUCGUAAACCUCUUUUGUCAGGGAACAAAGACUGGGACGCGUCCCCGGAUGAGUGUACCUGAAGAAAAAGCAUCGGCUAACUCCGUGCCAGCAGCCGCGGUAAUACGGAGGAUGCGAGCGUUAUCCGGAUUUAUUGGGUUUAAAGGGUGCGCAGGCGGUCUGUUAAGUCAGCGGUCAAAGCCCGGGGCGCAACCCCGGGCCGCCGUUGAAACUGG
rnacentral:rRNA from 1 species